CGGCGAGUGAGCGGCAAGAGCUCAGAUUUGAAAUCGUGCUAAUUUUUUUGGCACGAGUUGUAGAGUGUAGGCGGGAGUCUUUGUGGAGCACGGUGUCCAAGUCCCUUGGAACAGGGCGCCUGAGAGGGUGAGAGCCCCGUGGGGUGCCGUGCGAAGCUUUGAGGCCCUGCUGACGAGUCGAGUUGUUUGGGAAUGCAGCUCCAAGUGGGUGGUAAAUUCCAUCUAAGGCUAAAUACUGGCGAGAGACCGAUAGCGAACAAGUACUGUGAAGGAAAGAUGAAAAGCACUUUGAAAAGAGAGUGAAACAGCACGUGAAAUUGUUGAAAGGGAAGGGUAUUGGGCCCGACAUGGGGAGUGCGCACCGCUGUCUCUUGUAGGCGGCGCUCUGGGCGCUCUCUGGGCCAGCAUCGGUUCUUGCUGCGGGAGAAUGGGUGCCGGAAAGUGGCUCUUCGGAGUGUUAUAGCCGGCGCCAGAUACCGCGUGCGGGGACCGAGGACUGCGG
rnacentral:rRNA from 1 species